rnacentral:rRNA from 1 species
UGGGGAAUAUUGCACAAUGGGCGCAAGCCUGAUGCAGCCAUGCCGCGUGUAUGAAGAAGGCCUUCGGGUUGUAAAGUACUUUCAGCGAGGAGGAAGGCGUUGUGGUUAAUAACCGCAACGAUUGACGUUACUCGCAGAAGAAGCACCGGCUAACUCCGUGCCAGCAGCCGCGGUAAUACGGAGGGUACAAGCGUUAAUCGGAAUUACUGGGCGUAAAGCGCACGCAGGCGGUCUGUCAAGUCGGAUGUGAAAUCCCCGGGCUCAACCUGGGAACUGCAUCCGAAACUGGCAGGCUAGAGUCUUGUAGAGGGGGGUAGAAUUCCAGGUGUAGCGGUGAAAUGCGUAGAGAUCUGGAGGAAUACCGGUGGCGAAGGCGGCCCCCUGGACAAAGACUGACGCUCAGGUGCGAAAGCGUGGGGAGCAAACA